GGUCCGUUCGUCUAGGGGUUAGGACAUCAGAUUUUCAUUCUGGUAACACGGGUUCGAUUCCCGUACGGACUAC
rnacentral:tRNA from 1 species